rnacentral:misc_RNA from 1 species
GUCUAACAAGGGUAGGUUAAUUUAGCACCAAUGACUAGUUUACAGCUAGCAACCGCUGAAGUUUGCGACGCAAACCCCCACCUGAUCCUAAGUGGUGAGCUCCGUGCCUUUCAUCCUGUUUUCCAAAUUUAUGGCCGACGACAGGUCUUCUCCGGACCAGUUGUCACUCUCAAGGUGUUCGAGGAUAAUGUCCUCGUGCGCGACUUCCUCGAGGAGAAAGGAGGUGGCCGUGUUUUGGUCGUCGAUGGAGGUGGAAGCAUGCGCUGUGCAAUACUAGGUGGCAAUCCCGUUCAGCAAGCACAAAACAAUGGAUGGGCUGGCAUAGUGGUAAAUGGUUGCAUAAGGGAUGUUGACGAGAUCAACGAUUGUGAUAUCGGUGUGAGAGCCCUGGCAUCGCAUCCAAUGAAAGCUAGUAAGAAGGGGAUUGGGGAGAAGCAUGUCCCGGUGAAUAUCGCUGGCACGAGGAUUUGCGAUGGUGAGUGGCUUUAUGCUGAUACUGAUGGGAUUCUCGUUUCACGAUCGGAGCUGUCUGUGUGACCCUCUGGGUGUAUGUUGGCUUUGUAUUCGUAUCGAUCGACCGAUCGAUGUCAUGCUCUAUUGACAUACAUAGCUUUUUGUUGUAUUUGUAUUGAGACUUUGUAAUGGUAUCAAUAAUGUUCCUU